rnacentral:rRNA from 1 species
UGGGGAAUUUUGGACAAUGGGCGCAAGCCUGAUCCAGCCAUGCCGCGUGCGGGAAGAAGGCCUUCGGGUUGUAAACCGCUUUUGUCAGGGAAGAAAUCUUCUGAGUUAAUACCUCGGGAGGAUGACGGUACCUGAAGAAUAAGCACCGGCUAACUACGUGCCAGCAGCCGCGGUAAUACGUAGGGUGCAAGCGUUAAUCGGAAUUACUGGGCGUAAAGCGUGCGCAGGCGGUUUUGUAAGACAGAGGUGAAAUCCCCGGGCUCAACCUGGGAACUGCCUUUGUGACUGCAAGGCUUGAGUGCGGCAGAGGGGGGAUGGAAUUCCGCGUGUAGCAGUGAAAUGCGUAGAUAUGCGGAGGAACACCGAUGGCGAAGGCAAUCCCCUGGGCCUGCACUGACGCUCAUGCACGAAAGCGUGGGGAGCAAACAGGAUUAGAUACCCUGGUAGUCCACGCCCUAAACGAUGUCAACUGGUUGUUGGGAAGGUUCCUUCUCAGUAACGUAGCUAACGCGUGAAGUUGACCGCCUGGGGAGUACGGCCGCAAGGUUGAAACUUAAAUGAAUUGACGGGGUCAUAGC